CAGCAGUGGGGAAUAGUUUCCGCAAUGGGCGAAAGCCUGACGGAGCAACGCCGCGUGAGGGAUGAAGGCCGCUUGGGCUGUAAACCUCUUUUCUCAAGGAAGAAGAAGUCCUCUGACGGUACUUGAGGACUAAGCCACGGCUAAUUACGUGCGAGCAGCCGCAAUACAGGAGUGGCAAGCGUUAUCCGGAAUUAUUGGGCGUGGAGCGUCCGCAGGCAGCCUUGAAAGUCUGUCGUUAGAGCGCGGAGCUUAACUCCAAUUCCAGCGGUGGAAACUACAAGGCUUGAGCGUGGUAGGGGCAGGGGGAAUUCCCGGUGUAGCGGUGAAAUUCGUAGAUAUCGGGAAGAACACAAGUGGCGAAGGCUCGCUCUGCUGGACCAUAACUGACGCUCAUGGACGAAAGCCAGGGGAGCGAAAGGGAUUAGAUACCCCUGUAGUCCUGGCCGUAAACGAUGAACACUAGGU
rnacentral:rRNA from 1 species